AGAGAGAGAGAAUGAUGAAGCGAAUAGCUUUGCCUUGAGCUUGUUCAACACUGCCGCGUGGCUGGCUGGCUGUGUUGUGUGAUCCGUGUAUGUAUUAGCGCGUCUGGCGCGACACGUUUCGCUUAUAUACUAGUUUAUAGCCGUGCCUGUGACUGCAGGAGGUCCACGCCACACGCCGUGUUCGUUUGUAUAUGAAACUGCAAUGGUUUAGUUUUUACGAGCACAUCAAAGAGCCGCACGUCUCAUUAAGUGUUUUUACAGCGGACCGCUUGCAAGGGAGGAUUGCUUGUUUACAGCAAGUAAUUUAAUUAAAGAUUCAUGUUAUACCUUCACUGUUUUAAUUAAAUCAUGGUCAUAAGAGUUGAGGGUAAUGAGCAGCAUGUACGUAGCUCUUUGUGUGACGCUCGGUGAGACAUGCAACACUGUCUGUCUGUCGGUCUGUCUGUCUGUCGGUAGUGGGAGUUAACACGAUACUUGGGAACACUGCGCCGACUCCUUAAGCAGUCAAGGCCUAAGUGAAACACGGGAUUCAUUGUCCGAAGCACCAACGACACGAGAUGGCAACCCAAACACACACACACACACACACACACACGUGGUAAUGGCUCUCCCGCCCACCUCAUCUCAGCAAAUGUUUGUUGGCAGUUUUCCACAUUAAUAGGCCGCAAUUUUCCUUAAGUAAAGUCGUCUUGGUCUCGUUCGGAGUAAAUUACCAUCAUCACAGUAGUUUGUAGUUUAUUUUUUCAUCCAACACUCUCAGACUUCCCCACACGUCAUAUUGGCAAUUCUCUCCUUCCCCCACCAUUCUCUCUCUCUCUCUCUCUCUCUCUCUCUCUCUCUCUCUCUCUCUCUCUCUCUCUCUCUCUCUCUAUCGGCAACCACAACGUGCACACCUUCCCUCCUCUCCUCACCUCAGACUCUGUUGACUGAUAACUAACGUGCUUAAUUUCCCAUUGGUUUGUACCGGAACUCCGCCAGUCCCUACGCACCACAGAUGACAACUCUGCUAACGCCUGUCAGCCUCCAGUGAUCCCUCGUUACAAACUUUUCUGGACCCUGACCGGAGGAGGCAAUGAGUGUUGUUCUGUCUGCCUGCCUGGCCGUGAAUAGGCUAGUGAGUUGCCCGCUAGGUAUCCUUACAGACCUCAGACCUCGCCGUAUUGCUCGAAAUUAAACCAAGUACUGCUAGUUAAUUCAGACGGGUCGCAAUUACUAUGGACUCGUGGAAGACCAAAGCUUUUCCGCUCGAAUCAAGGUCUUAACGAAGGCGAUGAAACACCUCCACCGAACCCAAGUGAAGGCGAGCAGACGGAGUGGCGGGCAGGAGUGGUGGGUCAGUGGCUUCUUACCUUGACCUCCGUGAACACAGUGGAGAGCCUGUGAGCUGCAAACACCACAACUUCACGGCGCCUUUGUCCCCCCUCGCCUGGCUGGUUGUCUUGCAUCUCUCCGACACUCCAAUUCGUGACUCAGCCUCCACUCGUCCGUGAAUCCCCGAUGCACCCUCACCACCACUACCUUUAUCAUCACCGCCCCUUCAAUAGAUUGGCUUCUGAGGGCAGCUCCAUUGUCCCUAACCCCUCUCUGUCCGGAUUACGUUGCGUCUAUUUUUGUUUGUAAUGAUUUAUUUCUAUGUGUUUGUUCUGUCAUUG